rnacentral:lncRNA from 1 species
CCCCCCUGCUCACUGUUCUUCCCAUGUGAACUCCAGGCAGCAUUUCCUGUCCUCACAACUGUUGCUUCAAUGCAGGCCUCUGAGAAACCAACCCCCCCACCCCACCGCCCCGCCCCACCAUGCUAUACUGAUCCGCAUGGUUCAGGUCAGGCGCGCACGCUGGUGGACCUUCUCACAAGGUUGUUUUCUGAGUUCCAGACUCCCCCAGCCUGUGUGUGAAUGCAUCUGCCUGUAGGAGGGAGUCCUCCAAAAUGCAAACCACAUGGGCUUGAAGCGAGAAGGCUGGUUGUAUUCUAUCCUACAAAAAACCAGCAAAAUCCAAAAAUACAGUCAAAUCCGGUGACUGAAGAUCUCCACGGAUCGUAAUGUCCUCAGGGACAUCACCAUUCAGAGCGCCCCUGGGCAGGCUGGAGGCUACGGGCCCUGCUCAGGUGCGGCUGCAGAGUGGAAUAGGCUCCUAAUAAGGCAGGUGUCAGUCGAGAGAAAAUAUGAUUAGUGAUGGUUUGUGAAGGAGCACAUGCGCCCGGAGAGGCUAGGAAGGAAGGUGACUGCCGAAGGGGUAUGCGAUCAAACUCUAAAAGUCCUCGUAUCCCCAACAGGGCUGAUGGGGAUUCAGGAACACGAACAUGUUGAUCCUACUUCUGUGUUGGAGAGCAGGGAACUCACGACAGCAAGCCAUCCUGUUACCGAAGCUUUGGAUCAUCUAACAGAAAAACAUGAAAAUUGGGGGCUCAGAGAGAGACUUACUGCCCAUGUGCGUGCACACUUAGUGCCCACCAAGAAGCCCUCAGCUAAAUGACUCCAUGGCUGCAAAAAUGUAUGACCUUGAACAGCACAUCAAGCCCCUGUCUGUUCGCCCUAUGCGCCAGGUCAUUCCGGAGAAACAAGGUAGUGUGUUAUACAAAUGGGCUGGGGAGGCAGAUCUUCAGUAAAUGGUGUUCCUUGUGCUCUACCACGCAUGGAACACGACUGUGUGUAGUGCUCAACUUUUUUUCUUGGCUGUGGGUUUCCCUCUUGCCUUUUAAACGCGCGCGCGCACACACACACGGUCUACUUGACCACUAACACACUGUGAUAACCUCAAAGCAAGUCCUCACAACUGGAAGUUGCUCUUUAAUUAUUCAUAGAUAUGACAAAACUCAUCAUCCAUCCCCAGGUCUGAGGUACCCUGGGACCCCAGCCGCAGCUCCAGCAGCUCCUCCCAAACUACAGCCUCUUGGAUAUGAACAGCAGAGCCCAGAUUCCUUCACAGCCGACCUGGGGCUAACCUCCUCCAGGAUCUGUCCCUCUGUCUGCUGCAUGAUGGAAAGACAAGGACUUUCAACAGGUGGCAUGAGGCCAGGGAAACAGCCUCCAUACACACUCGCACUGAUCGUGUUAAUCAGUCUGUUUAAGAAGCAGACUAAAGAUGAAGAUCAUUAAGCUACGAUUCAUACCAACAAUAUAUAAUUAAAAAGUUAAAAAAAAAAAAAAAGAGGGGUGCCUGGGGGGUCAGUUGUUAAAGCCUCUGCCUUCAGCUUGGGUCAUGAUCUCAGGGUCCUGGGAUCAAGCCCCACAUUGGAGUCUCUGCUCAGCAGGGAGCCUGCUUCCUCCUCUCUCUCUCUGCCUGCCUUUCUGCCUACUUGUGAUUUCUCUGUCAAAUAAAUAAAUAAAAUCUUAAAUAAAAAAAAGAAAGAAAACCUGUUUGCCUCACUGCUUUCA